rnacentral:rRNA from 1 species
GAUGAACGCUAGCUACAGGCUUAACACAUGCAAGUCGAGGGACCCGCGCACGUGUGAGUAACACGUAUUCAACCUGCCUUUUACUCGGGGCUAGCCUUCCGAAAGAAAGAUCAAUACCCGCUAUAAAGGAUGGGUAUGCGUUUCAUUAGGUUGUUGUUGAGGUCACGGCCCACCACGCCUUCGAUGGAUAGGGGUUCUGAGAGGAAGGUCCCCCACAUUGGAACUGGGACACGGUCCAAACUCCUACGGGCGGCAGCAGUGAGGUAUAUUGGUGAAUGGGCGCUAGCCUGAACCAGCCAAGUAGCGUGAAGGAUGAAGGCUUAUGGGUCGUAAACUUCUUUUAUAUAAGAAUAUGUAUUAUAUGAAUAAGGAUCGGCUAACUCCGUGCCAGCAGCCGCGGUAAUUC